CCAAGCAGGGGUGGGGGUAACGUUUUUACCUCCAUUAAUUAGCGUUUAAACCUUGUUUACUUAUUAAAUCGUUGUAUUUGAUGACUUAUGACUUAUGUCUGUAAUAUGAACACAACUUUCAAAUAAACUUUACCUGCAAAGUUGUCACUUUUUAAAACUCUGUUUAUACAGGUGUAUUUGUGGCAAGUGUGAUCAAAUGCCUACGGAGCCUGAGCAUGUAUGCUGCAGGGAGAUACCACAGACGUUACAGGUAUUUGGCGUACAGAAGCUUUGUUGGCUGGUGUUGGGGCUAUCUGGGCCGGAGAAUCAGGGUCGUCCUGCCGUCCUGAGUUGUGCUCCAGAUACGAAGAGUGUUCCCUGAUGCUCAAGGAAGGUAUACGGGGUUCAGACAUGCCCUCGAUUGAACCUUGACACAUAGCUGGCUACAACUUCCCGCUUGUCAGGUUUCUCAAACUGGGCAGAGAGAUCCGCGGGUAUUGGGAUCUUCAGCACCUCAUUCACAUAUGGGGCCGGGUCCUGAAAAACCUUGUGAAAGAUGAGGUCCAACAGGUUAUCCACGUACUCUGUAAUACAAAAAAAAAAAUCCAAAACUUUUACAUUGUUUUUAUUUAUUGUUUAUAUUGUAUUUAUUAUUUUAUUUUUAUAAUUAUUUUGCAAUUAUAUUAUUCUAUUUAUUAUGAAGACCAUUUAAAGACAGCAGUUAAUGUAUAUGUUAUUUAAGUUUCACAUACUGUUUGUACAUUGUUUGACUUGGUGGAAUUUCAAAUAAAGCCUGUGACUCACGGAA